rnacentral:rRNA from 1 species
GAUGAACGCUAGCUACAGGCUUAACACAUGCAAGUCGAGGGGCAGCAUGUCGGUUGCUUGCAACCGACGAUGGCGACCGGCGCACGGGUGAGUAACGCGUAUCCAACCUACCCUUGUCCAUCGGAUAACCCGUCGAAAGGCGGCCUAACACGAUAUGCGGUUCUCAGCAGGCAUCUAACGAGAACGAAAUGUGAAGGAGAAGGAUGGGGAUGCGUCUGAUUAGCUUGUUGGCGGGGUAACGGCCCACCAAGGCGACGAUCAGUAGGGGUUCUGAGAGGAAGGUCCCCCACAUUGGAACUGAGACACGGUCCAAACUCCUACGGGAGGCAGCAGUGAGGAAUAUUGGUCAAUGGACGGGAGUCUGAACCAGCCAAGUAGCGUGCAGGACGACGGCCCUAUGGGUUGUAAACUGCUUUUAUGCGGGGAUAAAGUAUGGGACGUGUCCCAUUUUGCAGGUACCGCAUGAAUAAGGACCGGCUAAUUCCGUGCCAGCAGCCGCGGUAAUACGGAAGGUCCGGGCGUUAUCCGGAUUUAUUGGGUUUAAAGGGAGCGUAGGCCGUUGUUUAAGCGUGUUGUGAAAUGUCCCGGCUCAACCGUGGCACUGCAGCGCGAACUGGACGACUUGAGUGCGCGGAACGUAUGCGGAAUUUGUGGUGUAGCGGUGAAAUGCUUAGAUAUCACGAAGAACUCCGAUUGCGAAGGCAGCAUACGGCAGCGCUACUGACGCUGAAGCUCGAAAGCGCGGGUAUCGAACAGG